UUAGGUCGGGAACUCAAAGGAGACUGCCAGUGAUAAACUGGAGGAAGGUGGGGAUGACGUCAAGUCAUCAUGGCCCUUACGACCAGGGCUACACACGUGCUACAAUGGCGCAUACAAAGAGAAGCGACCUCGCGAGAGCAAGCGGACCUCAUAAAGUGCGUCGUAGUCCGGAUUGGAGUCUGCAACUCGACUCCAUGAAGUCGGAAUCGCUAGUAAUCGUGGAUCAGAAUGCCACGGUGAAUACGUUCCCGGGCCUUGUACACACCGCCCGUCACACCAUGGGAGUGGGUUGCAAAAGAAGU
rnacentral:rRNA from 1 species